GAUGAACGCUGGCGGCGUGCCUAAUACAUGCAAGUCGAGCGAACGGACGAGAAGCUUGCUUUUCUGAUGUUAGCGGCGGACGGGUGAGUAACACGUGGAUAACCUACCUAUAAGACUGGGAUAACUUCGGGAAACCGGAGCUAAUACCGGAUAAUAUUUUGAACCGCAUGGUUCAAAAGUGAAAGACGGUCUUGCUGUCACUUAUAGAUGGAUCCGCGCUGCAUUAGCUAGUUGGUAAGGUGACGGCUUACCAAGGCAACGAUGCAUAGCCGACCUGAGAGGGUGAUCGGCCACACUGGAACUGAGACACGGUCCAGACUCCUACGGGAGGCAGCAGUAGGGAAUCUUCCGCAAUGGGCGAAAGCCUGACGGAGCAACGCCGCGUGAGUGAUGAAGGUCUUCGGAUCGUAAAACUCUGUUAUUAGGGAAGAACAUAUGUGUAAGUAACUGUGCACAUCUUGACGGUACCUAAUCAGAAAGCCACGGCUAACUACGCG
rnacentral:rRNA from 1 species